rnacentral:rRNA from 1 species
CGGCGGACGGGUGAGUAAUGCCUAGGAAUCUGCCUGGUAGUGGGGGACAACGUUUCGAAAGGAACGCUAAUACCGCAUACGUCCUACGGGAGAAAGCAGGGGACCUUCGGGCCUUGCGCUAUCAGAUGAGCCUAGGUCGGAUUAGCUAGUUGGUGAGGUAAUGGCUCACCAAGGCGACGAUCCGUAACUGGUCUGAGAGGAUGAUUAGUCACACUGGAACUGAGACACGGUCCAGACUCCUACGGGAGGCAGCAGCC